GACGAACGCUGGCGGCGUGCUUAACACAUGCAAGUCGAACGGAAAGGCCCUGCUUUUGUGGGGUGCUCGAGUGGCGAACGGGUGAGUAACACGUGAGUAACCUGCCCUUGACUUUGGGAUAACUUCAGGAAACUGGGGCUAAUACCGGAUAGGAGCUCCUGCUGCAUGGUGGGGGUUGGAAAGUUUCGGCGGUUGGGGAUGGACUCGCGGCUUAUCAGCUUGUUGGUGGGGUAGUGGCUUACCAAGGCUUUGACGGGUAGCCGGCCUGAGAGGGUGACCGGCCAAAUGGGGACUGGGAUACGGCCCAGACUCCUACGGGAGGAAGGGGGGGGGAAUAUUGCAAAAGGGGCGGAAGCCGGCUGCAGCCACGCCUGGGGGGGGAUGACGGCCUUCGGGUUGUAAACCGUUUUCGCCUGUGACGAAGCGGGAGGGGAGGUAAUGGGUAAAGAAGCACCGGCAAACUCGGU
rnacentral:rRNA from 1 species